CAUUCAGUGUUCUGUCUUGUCAUGAGGGUGGGGGAGUGGGAAGGACAAAGCACUGAUCCCCUUUGGUGAGUAUCACCCAGAGUACAGACAUUGCAGAAAGAUAAGAAGGCUUCUCUUUCUCCUCCAAUACAAUAAGGGACUUAAUUUCUGCACCUUCAGACCCCUUUCCUAUAUCAGAACACUCUGGAGCUGAACCAUACUUCAGAUUAGACUUUAUCUUCAUUCAGCAUCAGGAUCUGUAGGGGGAGAUGGCUUUCCUAGUGGCCAAAGGGGUCUGCUGCCCUGAGAUCAGAGACCCUGUGCCCUGAGUCUCCUGCCACCUUAAUUUCCAUUCACAGCUGAAGGCCAGGCCAGUACCACCUUUGCUGAAGCUCAAGACCUAUGUAUGUUCUCUUGAUUGUGUGUUGUCUCUCUGUAAAAAGAAGAUAUGACUCAUCUCUUUGAAAACCAAUUUAUGCUUUCUCUUUGGGGAGAGGGAUUGAUAUUAAAAGUGAAACUAGGAUUUUCAUUGGACAAAUAAUUUAAUAAAGUUAUAUUUUUAACUUUA
ensembl:lncRNA novel transcript, sense intronic to PAH